AACGAACGCUGGCGGCAUGCCUAACACAUGCAAGUCGAACGAGACCUUCGGGUCUAGUGGCGCACGGGUGCGUAACGCGUGGGAACCUGCCCUUAGGUUCGGAAUAACUCCCCGAAAGGGGUGCUAAUACCGGAUAAUGUCUUCGGACCAAAGAUUUAUCGCCUUUGGAUGGGCCCGCGUUGGAUUAGCUAGUUGGUAGGGUAAAAGCCUACCAAGGCGACGAUCCAUAGCUGGUCUGAGAGGAUGAUCAGCCACACUGGGACUGAGACACGGCCCAGACUCCUACGGGAGGCAGCAGUGGGGAAUAUUGGACGAUGGGCGAAAGCCUGAUCCAGCAGUGCCGCGUGAGUGAUGAAGGCCUUAGGGUUGUAAAGCUCUUUUACCCGGGAUGAUAAUGACAGUACCGGGAGAAUAAGCUCCGGCUAACUCCGUG
rnacentral:rRNA from 1 species